CGGGGUGAGUAACGCGUGGGUAACCUGCCUUGUACUGGGGGACAACAGUUAGAAAUGACUGCUAAUACCGCAUAAGCGCACAGUAUCGCAUGAUACAGUGUGAAAAACUCCGGUGGUACAAGAUGGACCCGCGUCUGAUUAGCUAGUUGGUAAGGUAACGGCUUACCAAGGCGACGAUCAGUAGCCGACCUGAGAGGGUGACCGGCCACAUUGGGACUGAGACACGGCCCAG
rnacentral:rRNA from 1 species